rnacentral:rRNA from 1 species
UACGUAGGGGGCAAGCGUUGUCCGGAAUCAUUGGGCGUAAAGCGCGUGUAGGCGGCUCGGUAAGUCCGCUGUGAAAGUCAAAGGCUCAACCUUUGAAAGCCGGUGGAUACUGCCGGGCUAGAGUCCGGAAGAGGCGAGUGGAAUUCCUGGUGUAGCGGUGAAAUGCGCAGAUAUCAGGAAGAACACCUAUGGCGAAGGCAGCUCUCUGGGACGGUACUGACGCUGAGACGCGAAAGCGUGGGGAGCGAACAGG